CAAGCGAUAGGUAAGGGCAUUUGGUGAAUGCCUUGGCACUCAGAGGCGAAGAAGGACGUAGUACACUGCGAAAAGAUACGGGGAGUUGUGAACAAGCAUUGAUCCGUAUAUGUCCGAAUGGGGAAACCCACAGAGCAAUCUGUAUUGCAACAGGAAUACAUACUGUUGCAAAGCGAACGCAGGGAACUGAAACAUCUAAGUACCUGCAGGAAAGGAAAUCAACCGAGACUCCGAAAGUAGUGGCGAGCGAAAUCGGACCAGCCGACGGAUAUUGAUGUAAGAAUUAGAACAGCGUGGGAAAGCUGACCUAAGAAGGUGAUAGUCCUGUAUAAGUAGAAAGCAUUAAUAUUCUUGAGUAGGGCGGAGCACGAGAAAUUCUGUCUGAAAAUGGGGAGACCACUCUCCAAGGCUAAGUACUACUGAGUGACCGAUAGUGAACAAGUACCGUGAGGGAAAGGUGAAAAGCACCCCAAUAAGGGGAGUGAAAUAGACCCUGAAACCGGAUGCCUACAAGCAGUCGGAGGAGCAAUAAGCUCUGACGGCGUACCUUUUGUAUAAUGGGUCAGCGAGUUAGUUUAUGUAGCAAGCUUAAGCCGAUAGGUGUAGGCGUAGCGAAAGCGAGUUUUAAUAGAGCGAUAAGUUACAUGAAUUAGACCCGAAACCGAGUGAUCUAGCCAUGAGCAGGUUGAAGGUUGGGUAACACCAACUGGAGGACCGAACCCACUUCUGUUGAAAAAGAAGGGGAUGACUUGUGGCUAGGGGUGAAAGGCCAAUCAAACUCGGAAAUAGCUGGUUCUCCGCGAAAACUAUUUAGGUAGUGCGGCAGGCGAAUACCUUGAGGGGUAGAGCACUGGAAGAUCUAAGGGGGAGCGAUCCUUACUAAAAUCUACCAAACUCCGAAUACUCAAGAGUAAUACUUGCCAGACAGACAGUAGGUGCUAAGGUCUAUUGUCGAGAGGGAAAGAGCCCAGACCGUCAACUAAGGUCCCAAAAUUAUGGCUAAGUGGUAAAGGAAGUGAAUUGUCCAAAACAGUCAGGAGGUUGGCUUAGAAGCAGCCAUCCUUUAAAGAAAGCGUAAUAGCUCACUGAUCUAACAGACGAUUUGCGCCGAAGAUGUAACGGGGCUAAAGCCAUAUACCGAAGUUACGGGAUUAUGAUUUAUCAUAAUCGGUAGCGGAGCGUUCUGUAGGCCUGCGAAGGUCAACUGUAAAGUUGGCUGGAGGUAUCAGAAGUGAGAAUGCUGACAUGAGUAGCGAAAAGGAGUGUGAGAGACACUCCCGCUGAAAGUCCAAGGUUUCCUGCGUAAAGCUAAUCUGCGCAGGGUUAGUCGGCCCCUAAGGCGAGGCAGAGAUGCGUAGUCGAUGGGAAUCUGGUUAAUAUUCCAGAACCGGUUAGGAAGUGACGGAUUAAGUAAAUUGUAUGUUCUUAUUGGAUUGAACGUGCAGUGAAUUAGUCCCGGGAAAUAGCCCUAACAUAGACCGUACCCGAAACCGACACAGGUGGACAGGUAGAGUAUACCAAAGCGCUUGAGAGAACUAUGUUGAAGGAACUAGGCAAAAUACUUGCGUAACUUCGGGAUAAGCAAGCCCCAUUUUAGGGCAACCUAAGGUGGGGGGCACAUACUAGGGAGUAGCGACUGUUUACUAAAAACACAGGACUCUGCUAAAUUGAAAGAUGAAGUAUAGGGUCUGACGCCUGCCCGGUGCUGGAAGGUUAAGGAGAGAUGUGCAAGCAUCGAACUGAAGCCCCAGUAAACGGCGGCCGUAACUAUAACGGUCCUAAGGUAGCGAAAUUCCUUGUCGGGUAAGUUCCGACCUGCACGAAUGGCGUAACGACUUCUCCGCUGUCUCCAACAUAGACUCAGCGAAAUUGAAUUCUGAGUUAAGAUGCUCAGUACCCGCGGUUAGACGGAGAGACCCCGUGAACCUUUACUAUAGCUUUGCAGUGGUAUUAGGUGACAAAUGUGUAGGAUAGGUGGGAUGCUAUGAAGCUGAGACGCCAGUUUCAGUGGAGCAGACGUUGAAAUACCACCCUUUUGUUAUUUGAUAUCUAACCUGCUCCCGUAAACCGGGAGAGGGACCCUGCAUGGUGGGUAGUUUGACUGGGGCGGUCGCCUCCCAAAGAGUAACGGAGGCGCGCAAAGGUUGGCUCAGACUGGUCGGAAAUCAGUCGUCGAGUGCAAUGGCAAAAGCCAGCCUGACUGCGAGAGAGACAUUUCGAGCAGAGACGAAAGUCGGUCAUAGUGAUCCGGUGGUCCCGAGUGGAAGGGCCAUCGCUCAACGGAUAAAAGGUACUCCGGGGA
rnacentral:rRNA from 1 species